rnacentral:rRNA from 1 species
UGGUGGGUUGCCUUGUCAGGUUGAUUCCGGUAACGAACGAGACCUCAGCCUGCUAAAUAGUCACUGCUACCUUGGUAGUAGCUUGACUUCUUAGAGGGACUAUUGGCGUUUAGCCAAUGGAAGUGUGAGGCAAUAACA